rnacentral:misc_RNA from 1 species
UACAGAAUGGAGAGCACUGCCCAGUAAGUUCUUUAGCCUUGUGGUGGUGAUAUCUCCUUUUAUUUCUAAAGUUUAUUUCAAGUAUGCAUCUAAAUUUGUUAUGCACCUUGAAUUUAUCUACGUAGAGUAAGGCUGUCGAUUUCAUGACUCCAAACUCGUCUUAAGUACUUAACCUUCUUUUUCUACUUGAUGUUGUUUCAG